rnacentral:rRNA from 1 species
GACGGAGGGUGCGAGCGUUGUUCGGAAUCACUGGGCGUAAAGCGCGUGUAGGCGGUUGAAUAAGUCGGAUGUGAAAGCCCGGAGCUCAACUCCGGAAGUGCAUUCGAAACUGUUCGGCUCGAGUACGGGAGAGGGAAGUGGAAUUCCUGGUGUAGAGGUGAAAUUCGUAGAUAUCAGGAGGAACACCGGUGGCGAAGGCGGCUUCCUGGACCGAUACUGACGCUGAGACGCGAAAGCGUGGGGAGCAAACAGG